GGCAGUUCUCGGGUGACGCACCCCAGAAUCGGUCUCCCUCCUCUCUGGUUCUGGGUGUCAUCCGAGAACUACA
rfam:Myotis davidii contig100302, whole genome shotgun sequence.